rnacentral:ribozyme from 1 species
AGAAAAAAAUGAAAAGAGUUAUUUGGAUCUUGUUGUUGUACUUUCUGUUUUUAUUGGUUUAAUGGCCUCAUUCGUUCUGAUAAGGAAUGUCGUUAAAAGAAGAAGAAGAAAGUUA